UACAGAGGUCUCAAGCGUUGUUCGGAUUCAUUGGGCGUAAAGGGUGCGUAGGCGGCGGGGCAAGUCGGAUGUGAAAUCUCAGGGCUCAACCCUGAAACUGCAUUCGAUACUGCCUUGCUCGAGGACUGGAGAGGAGAUUGGAAUUCACGGUGUAGCAGUGAAACGCGUAGAUAUCGUGAGGAAGACCAGUGGCGAAGGCGGAUCUCUGGACAGUUCCUGACGCUGAGGCACGAAGGCCAGGGGAGCAAACGGG
rnacentral:rRNA from 1 species